UCAACUUUCCGUCUCAACUUUCCCUCUCAUCCCUUUCUCUCUCGAUCAUAAACCACUAUCAUCGAGCCAUUCUCAACUUUCCCUCUCAUCUCUUUCUCUCUCGAUCAUAAACCAUUAUCAUCGAGCCAUUCUUCAUUGUCUCUUCUCGUCAUUUUCAUAUUCUCAUCGAGCCAUUAUUCUGGAGCAUUUCCCCUCCAUCAUCUGGAAUCUUANGUGAAAACAUAGUUUGGACUCCUUGAAGCUUCCUCCACGAGUAAAUGCAACAGAAUGUAAGAACAACAGUGAACAAUGAGACGACGAUAGAUUCGAUGAAGGACCUUAGGAAGAGAACUCGAAAGAGGAGGAAUGCGUCUGGGAAACCCUAGGUUCGUGAUGAUACUCUAGGAGCGAGAAGGAUUCGAAGCAGAGUGAAAAAUAGGAAGAUUGUUCGGUAAGAAAUAUGAUUUCGGUCACGUGUUCGGUGAAAAAGGAAGAUUCAACGGCUGAAUCGGUGAAACGGUGCCAAAAUGAGGAUGUAAUCGGUGGAUUCGGUGGAGAAGGUUGUAACGAGGAUGAAUCAAGUCGCAAGAUGUGAUUCGGUGAUGUGAAUCACGGAGAUGAAGGCUCUGUGAGAGUGAUUAGGUGAGGAGAUUCACGAGCUCGAGAAAAAGCUAGGUUUAGCUUUUCUGGUUCUACUCCAUUCAUUUCAAUUCCAUUUCUAAUUUCAUAUAAAAAAUAGAAACACACUCUUUUUCAUUUCAUUUCUCAUCUGCAAUUUUCAUUGCCCGCUGAAACCCUUCAUUUUCCCCAAGUGAUGGAUUAGUUUCCGGGAAUUCCUCGCCAAUUAAGGUACCCUGCUUUUACUUCUUGAGCGGUAUUUUAUUCCCAUGACCAAGGAUCAUUUUCGUUACACACAAUUUUUGCUUAGGGUAAGGAUUUUCGUCCUUUUUCUCCGUAGUCAUUUCGCAUUACUUUGUUUUGUGAGUUGAAUGAGUCACGAGAUAAUGUAAUUGUAUAAUUUGUGUAUACGUGGAGUGUAGGAUUGUUGUGUGCAAAUAUAAGGUUGUGAGAUGGAGGAUGGUGAGAAACCCACGGGUAAUUCGCAUGACAUUUCUGAUAUGGAUGUUGUUGAAGCAGCUUGCAUAGCCAACGUGUGUCAUCUUCCCCUAUUGACAUUUCUCCUACUUAGCAAUAGCAGGAUUAAUUGUAUUCUUNUGUCUUUGAUAAUNUUNAAUGUAUAUAAAUGUAUAUAAACUCCUGUUCGUUAAAGGUCUCUAACUUCUUUAGAUUCAUUUUGACUUCUGUUAAUAACAUCUUGUUCAUCACCUUUAUUUUUCAUUUUUAACAGGAAGUUAGUAUGAAAAGUGGAAAGGCAUCAAUUAUGCCGGUUGAUGAAUAUUGCUCGUGUAAUUUGAUUAUUGUUUAACUGGUACAU
rnacentral:lncRNA from 1 species